GGGGGUUUAGCUCAGUUGGUAGAGCG
rnacentral:tRNA from 1 species